GUUUCUUUCCGACCCCUUGACUGGAUCCAGGAAAUGGCUGUGGCCUGGGUGAGCGGGGCCUGGAGUCCUGGCUGCCUGGGGAAAGAGGAGCAGCGGAGAAGUGGGCUCCGGCUGCUGGGUGACCACUCAGUGCAUUUGGUUGACCCUUCAAUCUAAAGAUUCUUCAAUUCUGGGAUAUUGGGGUAUCCUUCAACUCUGGGAUAUUGAGAUAUGCCAAGUCAGACAAAGAGACUCAAAAGAUUCAUUUCCUCUGAAGAUGAAGGAGAAUUCUGGACCUGAAGAUGGAGCUGCUGGUGCCUGGGGUCAAGCCCAAUAUGGCUUCAGAUUUCCCUGAGGGCUGGCCAUCCCAUGGCUCUCUCCCUGGGUGGGUGGUGGUGGUGGGGGCUACAGCAGAGAGAGGAGGCAUGCUAAUUCACAUACUUAAUGC